rnacentral:lncRNA from 1 species
GGGAGUAAAAGUAGACGUGAAACAGUGAUCAAAAUGUGUGAUGUUACAAGAGCUGCUAGUUGAUGCAAGAAGAACAGAAGGGCAAACUGUAUGUGCCAGAUUCUAACCCGUGUAAUCUCACCAAAGAAAAAUGCCUUGCGCAGAACUAGCCUUAACCAAAGGACGAAAUCUAGCAACUGCAUAAACAAGAUGAUUUUUUAAACUAAGAUGCUUAGUGCCUCUGUCCCUGCAACUGCAAAAGAGCCCACAAAACCAAAAGGUACAAACAAAGGAACUUUCUGUGUCGCACAUGAAUACUUCCUUCUCAGGUAGGCCAUGCUAUAUCCAUCCAAAAGUCCCAUUUCGUCGAUUUAAAAACCUAAU